rnacentral:rRNA from 1 species
AUUGAACGCUGGCGGCAGGCCUAACACAUGCAAGUCGAACGGAAAGCGGACGGGUGAGUAAUGUCUGGGAAACUGCCCGAUGGAGGGGGAAAACGACUGGAAACGGUAGCAACUACCGCAUACCAUCGGAUGUGCCCACAUGGGAUUAGCGAGCAGGUGGGGUAACGGCGCACCAAGGGGACCAUCCCUAGCUGGACUGAGAGGAUGACCGGCAACACUGGAACUGAGACACGGUCCAGACUCCUACGGGAGGCAGCAGUGGGGAAUAUGCGACAAUGGGCGAAAGCCUGACGCAGCCAUGCCGCGUGAAUGAAGAAGGCCUUCGGGUCGUAAAGUACUUUCAUGGAGGAGGCGGUAUCCGAAGAAGAAGCCCCGGCUAACUCCGUGCCAGCAGCCGCGGUAAUAC